UAGAGUUUGAUCAUGGCUCAGGAUGAACGCUAGCGGUGCGCUUAACACAUGCAAGUCGAAUGCGCCUUCGGGUGCAUGGCAAACGGGUGAGUAACACGUUGGUAUCUACCCUUUACUCAGGGAUAAUCCCGCGAAAGUGGGAAUAAUACCGGAUAGUCUCCAUCUCUGAUGGAGUAAAGCUUUUGCGGUAAAGGAGGAACCUGCGGUCUAUCAGCUUGUUGGUGGGGUAACUGCCCACCAAGGCUAUGACGGAUAGCUGGUGUGAGAGCACGACCAGCCACAAUGGGACUGCGACACGGCCCAUACUCCUACGGGAGGCAGCAGUGAGGAAUCUUCCGCAAUGGACGAAAGUCUGACGGAGCGACACCGCGUGAAGGACGAAAGUCUCACGAUUGUAAACUUCUUUUCUGGAGGAACAAGUUUCUGAGGGUACUCCAGGAAUAAGCACCUGCUAACUACGUGCCAGCAGCCGCGGUAAUACGUAGGGUGCAAGCGUUAUCCGAAAUUACUGGGCGUAAAGAGCCUGUAGGCGGUUAUGAAAGUCGAAUGUUAAAUUCCAACACUCAACGUUGGUAUGGUAUUCGAAACUUCAUAACUAGAGACUGAUAGAGGUGAGUGGAAUUCCGUGUGUAGGGGUAAAAUCCGUAGAUACACGGAGGAACACCAAACGCGAAAGCAUCUCACUGGAUCAGUUCUGACGCUGAGAGACGAAAGCGUGGGGAGCAAAGAGGAUUAGAUACCCUUGUAGUCCACGCCCUAAACUAUGGAUACUUGGCUUUGGAGGAAUCAACCCCUUCAGANCGGAGCUAACGCGUUAAGUAUCCCGCCUGGGANUACGGUCGCAGAUUAAACUCAAAGGAUAGACGGGACCCACACAGCGUGGAGCAUGUGGUUUAUUCGACAUAGCGANGACCUUACUGGACUUGACAUCCUAGAUC
rnacentral:rRNA from 1 species